rnacentral:rRNA from 1 species
UGGGGAAUCUUGCGCAAUGCGCGAAAGCGUGACGCAGCAACGCCGCGUGAGGGAAGAAGGCCUUCGGGUUGUAAACCUCUUUCAGGAGGGACGAAGGUUCAGGCGCGAACAGCGACCUGAACUGACGGUACCUCAAGAAGAAGCCCCGCCUAACUACGUGCCAGCAGCCGCGGUAAUACGUAGGGGGCUAGCGUUGUCCGGAAUCAUUGGGCGUAAAGCGCGCGUAGGCGGCCCGGUAAGUCCGCUGUAAAAGUCAAAGGCUCAACCUUAGAAUGUCAGUGGAUACUGCCGGUCUAGAGUCCGGAAGAGGCGGGUGGAAUUCCUGGUGUAGCAGUGGAAUGCGCAGAUAUCAGGAGGAACACCAACGGCGAAGGCAGCUCGCUGGGACGGUACUGACGCUGAGGCGCGAAAGCGUGGGGAGCGAACAGG